AGGUCUAAAUCUGAUGGUAAUAUUGCUCUUUGAAGAGAAAAUCAUGGGGCUGAUGAUUGCUAAUGGCUCAUUAGCCAAAUUGCUAAUUACCAUCAGCUAUGAAUCUCAUGAUAUACGCCUGUCCUACGUUCUCCUUUAGAGGCACCAUAAUGAGACUACUACUUAUUCAUCUGACAUUACAUAGAAUAGAGUCAUGACACGGACAUCAUGAGCGAAGAGAAGUCUGGCCUCACUAAGCCUGGCGACUGUGCAGAACAACAGAGAACUUGUUACUAGGAGGAGCUUGGCAAAGAUUUGCAUGGCACCAUAAUGAGGCUACUACUUAUUCAUUUGACAUUACAUAAAAUAGAGUCAUGACACCGACAUUAUCAGCCAAGAGAAGUCUGGCCUCACUAAGCCAGGCGACUGUGCAGAACAACAGAGAACUUGCUACUAUGAGGAGCUUGG
rnacentral:lncRNA from 1 species